GAUGAAGAACGUAGUGAAAUGCGAUAAGUAAUGUGAAUUGCAGAAUUCCGUGAAUCAUCGAAUCUUUGAACGCACAUUGCGCCCCCUGGUAUUCCAUGGGGCAUGCCUGUUCGAGCGUCAUUUGUACCUUCAAGCUUUGCUUGGUGUUGGGUGUUUGUCUCGCCUUUGCGUGUAGACUCGCCUUAAAAUAAUUGGCAGCCGGCGUAUUGAUUUCGGAGCGCAGUACAUCUCGCGCUUUGCACUCAUAACGACAGCGUCCAAAAGUACAUUUUACACUCUUGACCUCGGAUCAGGUAGGGAUACCCGCUGAACUUAAGCAUAUCAAUAAGCGGAGGA
rnacentral:misc_RNA from 1 species